GGGACACAGCUCGUGACUGUCAUGUUGGAUUUGAACUAAGGUCUUCUUGCCCUCAGGUCCAGCCCUCCAGUGAUCAACCUCUGUGCCCCUAAGUGGGCGGGCAUUAAGAUGAGAGUCCAUCUCCCAGCCUCUACUCGUAUGGCACACUGGCACAGUCUUGAAGAGCCAGAGUCCAGUUACAUGCUACAAUGAGGCAUCAGAAGAGGAAGGCUUUAGUGGAAAUGGUUUUUACCAAACAGGAUGAAAUGCGUUGUUAACCUUGUGGCUAAUGCUGUUGAAGUCCCUACGACACAGCUGCCUUUUUAGCAACCAAGUGGCCAGAAUCCUCAGCUGCCAAGUUCUUUUGUAAGCUCCCACCACAGGAAGCCAAGCACUCAGCUUGUUUUUCCAACUCAAGCGAUGAAGAGCCACAUCCUAGGCCACCCAGAGUCUCUCCAUUGGCUCUCCUUGGUCAGAUACAUGCGGUACAAGACAGCUGCUCUGGAUUAACAUUACUCUGGCUAUGGGACUGAAGGUGUCUCCUGCCCUCAAGAAGAGAAAAGAGGUGUUGUGCCCUCCCCUCAUCUGCUACUCUGUUGGUUAGUGAUUAAGCCACAAGCACAUGCUAAAGUGUUCUUUCUUUUCACGUUAUGUUAUAAGAUGGAGCAUCUGAACCUUCAAAAAUUAGGUGCACUAUAAUGUGGCAGAAGGAGUAUUGGACGAGGAGACGAGAAACCUGGGAUCAUCAGGCACAGGAGGAGUUGGAGCAUAUAAUCCUUUCUUUAAAGUAGAUUCAAAAACAGGAGAUUUUGUAUCAGCAAACCGGAUGCAACAACUUUAAAAUAUAAAUGAUGAAAAUUCAAGUGGUCAGCUAUGCAACUUUAAUAUCACAUUGUGUAUUUCAGUUUUGAUUUGGGAGAUUGUGAUUUAGAUUUAGAGGGUGAUCUUUCCACCCUGGUGGUGAAGAAAUGCAUUCCAUGACUGGCAGAGUCACAAGGAUGAUCAUGUCACUGGAAGACUCCAUGAGAUGUGUAAUAUUAAUACCAAAUUAUUUCUAACAAUGUUGGAUUUGUAUAUUUGAUGUUCUGUUUCCUAUUGACUAAUCAAUGCUGAUUCUUUAGAGUCUCCAAGAAAAAGAAAAGAAAAAGAGAAAGAAAUAAAAUCAAAUCAAUAAAAGAAAAUCAUUUCAUUGAG